rnacentral:misc_RNA from 1 species
GCUACCUUCAGAAGAUUUACUGUGUUUAGACCAGAAGGACGAGCUUUGGAUUCCAGUUUUUCAGAUACACGAACAACUUUCAUAAUCCUAUCCUCUAUUAUUCUGUUCCGAAACAUUGCAGAAACAUCAGCAUCAAACAACCUGCUACGUUCCCAUUCUAACUUGAGUUCAUACCCCUUGUACAUAAUGUACGGAUGCAGCAUCCAAAACUUUUCUGGCUUGAACAUAGUAAUUUGCAGGAAACGAUCCACACAGAACCCAAGCGUAGGAGUUUGACAUGGCCCAUAGGAGAUAACCCUUGCAUCAAGAUUGCCAUAUUUCCCAUUGAAAUAACUAGUCUGGAAACGUGUAAAUGCAACUCCAACUUUCAAAUCAAUCUCUUGCCGUGCAUCUACAGACAAUGCCUCAUCUCUGUUGGGUUCAGCUAGGCUAUUCAUUGCCUUCAGAAUAUCUUUUUCAGUAACAGAAGAGAAUCGAGCACGGUAAAUUCUUCUACCGUCGCUUGUGUGAAAU